AAUUUUGGACAAUGGGGGCAACCCUGAUCCAGCCAUCCCGCGUGUGCGAUGAAGGCCUUCGGGUUGUAAAGCACUUUUGGCAGGGAAGAAAAGGCUCUGGUUAAUACCUGGAGCUGCUGACGGUACCUGCAGAAUACGCACCGGCUAACUACGUGCCAGCAGCCGCGGUUAUACGUAGGGUGCAAGCGUUAAUCGGAAUUACUGGGCGUAAAGCGGGCGCAGGCGGUUCAGCAAGAACGAUGUGAAAUCCCAGGGCUUAAACUUGAAACUGCAUUCUUAACUGCCGGGCUAGAGUAUGUCAGAGGGGGGUAGAAUUCCGCGUGUAGCAGUGAAAUGCGUAGAGAUGCGGAGGAAUACCGAUGGCGAAGGCAGCCCCCUGGGAUAAUACUGACGCUCAUGCACGAAAGCGUGGGGAGCAAACAGG
rnacentral:rRNA from 1 species